CCUGUUGCCAAAAUGAACCUGAAGAAUAAUUGGUCUGAGCAUUCUAAAUCUAUGUUAAUUUUUUUCCUAUUUCCUAUUUUUUCCUAUUUUCCUUUUUUCAUUUGUAUCACUCUGAACAGUUUAGCAAUAGCCAUGGUAUGUCUUUUACCACCCACACCUGAACAUGCAGUUGUUUUAUAGCAGCUGUGUUCAGAGAGCAUGGGGCAGCUAAUUCGGAACACAAGAUUAUGUUUCCUUUUUUUCUUUUCCCUAAUUUAUUUCUCAUUUUGUGUUUUUUUUCUUCUUCAGGAUUUUAGCUUGGUUUCCUUUUCACUGAAUUCCCUGAGGUUUGUAAUUCUAGCACUGUCUGAAGGACUAAUUUAUUUUUCUGCUUAUCCAAAUCUUCUUUUGACCAUUGCAAGGACUUAAUUAAUUUCUUUCCUACAGUCUAAAAAUGCACAGUACUGUUUCUUUUUGUUUCAUCGAGUUCUAGUUGCUGCUCUGUCUUCUACCACAUAUCAGUGUUGGCCAGCUUAGAAUUAAUGAGGACAACUUCUUCCAAAGAAUAUCUGCUUCUUUUCCUUUUAACCAGUAAAAGAAAAUAGUUUUUCCUGUCUCCAUCUAGAUAUAAUUUCAUAUUUUGUUUAACAUAUACUACCACUUUAUCCUCACCACAAAUUUUCUAUAAACGCACUGUUUAGAAAUAAAUAGCAAUUGUCUUAACAGGUUAUUCAAAUUAAUGUGUUCUGCAUAUUGAUACCUAGGCAUAUGAAGUCUAAUUGAACUCAAAGAUGGUUGGUUUUUUUUUGAGUAGGUAGGAGUAAUGCAUAUAUGUAAUAAAAUGGUACCUGUUUGCUAGAAUGAAAGGAUACACAUGUAAAAUAAUUGAAUUACAUUGAACUAAAAUAAAUUAAAUCGUGUUUUAAUAAAUGUAACAAAGAGAAAAAAGACCUGGAUUUAUAAAGUGGCCAUAAGUAGAAACUUUACAUUCUAUAUUCCCUGAGUUUUUCUGGGCAACAAGAUAAAAGUACUUUGCUUUUGCUGUUAUCUUCUGUGGGAUUUUUCAAAAUUCUAACACUGUUUUAACUUUUUGUGAUCAACCAGAUUAGCUGAUUUCAAAAUUAGAUGAUUAUUGGUUUUAGAGACGAAUCAAUUAAUGCCAGAGUAAUAUCACACCCUUCCAAUCUAGACCAUGCCUAAUUGAAUUGUGGAUAGAAUUCCGGGAGUUGAAGUCUGCAUAUCUUCCAAUAGCCAAGUUUGAGAGCACUGGCAUAAACAUAACUGGAUGAGCAGAUCUAUCCUAAAGGUAGUCAAUAUAUAUAGAGAAGUGGAGAAGAAAACUUUUAAUAAAACACUUGGUUUUUAAUAAUGAAGUCACAGGUUCAAUCACUAGCAUUUCUAAUAAAAGCAAUCUGAAAUAUUAAAAAAUAUUUUAUAUUGCAAAUCCUUCAAACUAAAUUAUGACAGGAUUCAGAUAUUAAAAUACCAGUUGAUUUGCUUGGUUUUGUCUUGGCAUGUUGCACAUAUUGCUAUGUGUGAAACAGCAUUCAAAAUAGUAAUACUGCUCUGGAACUUCACUGAAAUUUAUAGCUGUGUCUGUUUCAAUGGGAAAACUGCUGUUUGAUAAAAUUAUUUUAAAUUUUUAAGUAUGUAUGUAUGUAUGUAUGUAUGUAUGUAUGUAUGUGUAAUGUGCAAACACAAAUGUUUAUUUUAAAGAUAAGGUUUAUCCCAACAACAUACAAAGCAGUAGUAAAAGAAGAAGCCAAAUGGUAUAGAAUGAUUAUUUUCCCUGCUAAGCCCCUAUUGCACAUUAUAAUACAUCUGUAAUUGUCAGAGGAGAUUCCAUAUUGACAAGAUUGAUGUCAGAGUAUUUCAUUACUACAUUUAGAGUAAGAGCAAGUAAAUAAACAUAAAAAUAUGCCAACUAUAUUAUAUUUUCAGUCACCCAGGAUAAAAAUCUCCUAUUUUUGAUUGUUGAAGUAUACGCCUACUAGUUUUGCAAACACUUCAAGAAUGCAUAGAUCCAUGUACUGAUCAGCUGCAUUCAGAAAACCUUACUGCAGCUGGUUGUUUAUUAUCAUGUCUCCCAUUUCUUUCGAAGUGAUAUGGUCAGGAUUCAGUAUGUGGAGGAUCCUCUAUUAAAGUAAAUAGAAAAGCUUGGUUGAAUAAGGGUUGAAGUGUGGACUUCAGAAACGGUGAAGGGGAAACAAUAGUUAUAUACACAAUUAUGUGCAUAAAAGAAGCUUUUGGAUGUGGUAAGAUGUAGCUCAUGUAUUUAUCUUAGUGUUGCUGAUAUACACCUGUGAAGGAGGUAAUGGUUGCUAUUUUAUGUUUAUAUAUUGUAUUUGUUAAUUGUUAUAUGAUGAGAUCUAUUUGUUUGUUUAUUUUUGUAUGCCGUUUGCUGCUCAGAGUUACAUUUAGUUGAAUUGGGCAGCCAGAUCUUAAAAACAAACAAGCAAAGCGUAGCCUAUGUAAUACAGGUCCUUGACUUACAAUCAUCUGUCUAAUGACUGUUUGAAAUUACAAUGGCACUGAAAAAAGUGACUUACAAUUGUUUUUCACUCGACUGAUACAGCAUCCCUAGAGUCAUGUGAUCAGAAUUUGGAUGCUUUGGCAACUAGCAUAUAUUUAUCAUGGUUGCAGUGAGUCCUGAGGUAAUUGAAAACCUUUUCUGACUUUCUGACCAGCAAAGCCAUGGGGAAGCCAAAUUCACUUAACAACGAUGUUACUAACUUAACAACCGCAGUGAUUCACUACAUAACUGGCAGGAAGGAUCAUAAAAUGGAAAACUCAGCAAUAAGCUGACUUUGUAUAAAUAUACAAAAGUAUGAAGGCUAUUGCUUAACGCAUUGUAAGCCGCCCUGAGUCUCCGGAGAAGGGCGGCAUAUAAAUCAAAUUAAAAAAAAAAAAAAACAACUCUCUUGCUUAUCAGUGGAAAUUUUGGGCUCAAUUGUGGUCGUAUGUAGAGGACUACUUGUACUAUUGCUUCAAAAUCAAUUUCUUUAUUCAUUCAGUUUCUGUAGCUUCCCAAUUCAACCAGGGGACUUUCCUUUUGAAUAGUUCUGCCAUAAGGGAUCUUAUUUUUUCUUACAGGAUUAGCAAGAUUAGAAGAGUCUUUCCACUGUGAGCAAGAGGUCAGAUCACAUAUUCUCCAGCCAAAGGAAGCAAACUGCAGAGGAUGAAAUUUUCUCAGAAUUGCUAUUGCAUUCUUCAAGUUCAGUCUUUCUUAUUAAUUCUUUCUGGUGAUGACAACUACCAUACUGAGUGAAUGAAGCAGUGCUUAUCUCUUCAGCUGGUAGGAAAUAGGAAUGAUGUCACUGUUUGUGUAUGCUGGGAAGACAAUCCUUCCGAAGACAUAUGGCUGCCUCAUUUUACUUGAGAUUUGAUUGGAUGUAUGCAUCAUUGAAAGAGUUUGGAAACUCUGCACAAAUGUUCCUAGGAGAUAAUGAUUUUAUGAUUGAGAAUCUUAUGUUAUAAUAGGGUUUAUAAAUGAGGUGAAGAAAAUUUCCUGGGGCUGUUGGAUUUAGCUUCAUGUUUUUCCUGGUAGAUAUUUAUAAUAGUGCAGGCCUGUACAGCUUCUAGAGGGACUAAAUUAAAAAUCAUUGCCAACCAACCAACCGAUCAGUUGUUUGGCUACAGGUAGUCCUCAAUUUACAACAGUUCAUUUAGUGACAAUUCAAAGUUACAAAGUUACUGAAAAAGUGACUUAUGAUUGCUUAAUGACUUAUGAUUGUUUUUCACACAAUCAUUGCAGCAUCUGCAUAGUCAUAUGAUCAAAAUUCAGACACUUGGCUUAUGACAGUUGCAGUGUCCUGGGGUUAUGCUAUCCCUUUUUGUGACCUUCUGACAAAGUCAAUGGAGAAACUAAAUUUGCUUAACAACCAUAUAACUAAUUUCACAACUGCAGUGAGUCACUUAACAACUGUGGCAAGAAAGGUCAUAAAAUGGGACAAAACUCACUUAACAAAUGUCUCGCUUAGCAACAAAAAUUUGGGUUCAAUUGUGUUGUAAAUUGAGGACUGUCUGUAUUGGAUAUAUGGAAGUAUUAUGGUUUGCAGUAGUGAGUCCUGGAGGUGCUCAGCAAUGUGUCUUUUAGGGCAGCAGUAGAGGUCAAUUUAUUACUUUUAAAAAACGCCAGCUGGCUGCACAAAGCUGCUUAGUGGACCAGGGGUUGUGCAGGCCUGGUUCUAUGUUGUGUAGUUAAUGAAAUGAUAGCUCAAAUGUCAUAUUUGCAUCUCAUUUGAAAAAGCUAUGAAGAAAAUAUCUUUCAGAGGGGACAUAAAAGAAGGUUGGUUCAAGAGAUAGGAUUAGAAACAAAACUAUAGAGGUCACAGGUUACAUUCAUUAACUUUGAUAUAUUAACAAAACAUUUGUCGUCUAAAUGAUUGGUAUCUGAGAGUACUUCAAAAGUAAAGUAUAAAUUGGCAAUGGAUAGAAAAUUCAAGCAAAAACAACAACAACACUAAUACUUUGUACAAGUAGCAAUUAAUUUACUAGGCAGAGAAAUUAUGCUGUUUUUAAAAAAUCAGAUUUCAUUCAAUUUGAUAAAAAAUUGCAAAAAGAAUUCUUUAAAUAUGACAUUAUUGUAUUUAUUUAGUUAAGAGAUUACUAAGGGAUGCCUGGGAAAGUCCUGUCUUUCAUCAUACAAUAAUCUUUUCAUAUCUAUCUGUCUAUCUGUCUGUCAAUCUUUAUCUGCCUGCCUGCCUGCCUGCCUACCUAACUACCUAAAGGUGGUGAACAUAACUAAUACUCCUGCCUCCUAUGUUUUGCAAAACAACCACCCUGUGGAUGGGAAUGAUUGUCCCAUCCAGCUGUCUUUUAUGCCUAAGGCAGGCCUGCAAUUCAUAGUCUCCAGCUUUCUAGGCCAGACUUUAUCUCUACACCAAAUUGGCUCUCAUAUCUCUCAAGCUAGAACAUAGUUUCCCAAAUGGAGGUGUACAUCCAUUGAGGAAUAAACAGACCAAAUUCAGGCAAGGUGUGAACCUUACACAUUGUUGCAAUAACUCCGCCUUUCUCAAAAAUUUCAUUGUAUUGUUUUAAUUAUUCAUUUGUGUUCAUUUUGUUGUUUGGAUUUGAACAGGAGAUUUGCACAUCAAGAUUACACUAAAGGGAAGUAUGAUGGCAAAACAUUUACAAAACACUUCAAGAAUUGUUCCUUUGGUUUCAAAGUGAAAAGUACAGUAUAUUUGGGAGCACAUACAGUACGUUAUAAUGUUAUAAUUCUUUAAGCCAAAUGUCUGUUGCACUGUACAGUGCACUGAAUUGCACUGUAACUGUGGAGAACAGCCACCUGAUCCUGGGAAAAGAAGCUGCUGCUUUAAGGAGUUGCCAGUAAUGCUACAUGAGGAUUCAACAUACUUUACAGAAGUCAAAGUAGUUUUUUUCAACAAAAUAUUUAAAAUGAAGUGGAAUUGGUCCACUUAAACAUAUUUUGUGAAGACUUACUAUGUUAAAGCAUGUAUAUUUAAAGCAAAUUUAAUGUGCAUAUUUCAAUUAAAAAAUGUAAAAGCAGUACCACUUGAAUGAAACUGAUGCAACCUUAUGUCUGACAGUGUACAAUUUUUGAAUAGAAAAUAGAAGCUUCUAUUUGUUCUGCUCAUUUGCUAACUCCAAAACCUUUUAUUACUCAUAAUGCAACUUUUUUCCCAAGUUCAUAAUUUUUCCCUUCUACAUUAUUGUUGCAUGAUUUUUGAUCGCUCUCUAUUCCUGCUGAUCAGGAUAUAUCCUAAAGUAUAGUGCCACAUGGAAAUACCUAGUUGGAAGCAAAGAAGAUAACCUUAAUACUUUAAUUUCUGUAUCUUUUACUGAUUUAGAUAGUUGUUUUAUAAUAAUGCCUGUUAAGAUAACAAUGUUCUCUAUAAAGUAUUAAAAGUACUUACAUGUUGUUCCUGACUAAUGGCCAGUUAUUUAAAGUUAUGACGGCCUUGGAAAGGAUGCUUUAUGGUCCAUAAACAUUUCUGGUCAUCGUAAAAUCAGAUAAUUAAACAUGGUUAAAUGAAGUUUGUCCAUGGCUGCCACAACAUUUCAUUCAUAGUUAAUAUCUAGUGAGCCUAGACUUUCUAGUGUGAAAUGUAAAACUUCUCUUAUUAUUCAUUUUGCAGCUAUUGUUUUUAUCAUCCUAUCCUCCCUUAAAUUUUCUGUGUUCAAACUUUCUGAACAACUUUGCAAAAAGAUCUGUUAUAUUUUUAAUUUCACAUUAGCUGAGAUGGAUGCCAAAAAGCUCAACCACCCACCUUUGGUCAACAAAUAUUACUGCAAACAAGCAUGAAUUGGAAGUGCAGAACAAACGAAGAAAUGUUUUUGACAGGCUUCCCUGGUAGUGUAGGAGGAUAUUCUGCAAGUCUAAAAAUACCUUCAGCAGUUUUCAUAGACAAUUUGAAAUAUCUCCCUCACUACAGAAGAUGGUUCCAGAGCUCACAUGCUAGAUCUGACAGAUGGCUUAUAAGAAUCUUUUCUUGUACUUCAGUUGCAGAAAAGGGGAAAAAUCAAUAACUAGUUAAUUCUUAGAUUUGCAUAAGGCCAUUGAAGCGCUAUUGCCAACCAAGUCAAUGUGUCUUCCUUCUUAAAUAAAGUUCAUGUUUUUU